ACCUACACAUGCAGUCGACGGUAGCACAGAGAGCUUGCUCUUGGGUGACGAGUGGCGGACGGGUGAGUAAUGUCUGGGAAACUGCCCGAUGGAGGGGGAUAACUACUGGAAACGGUAGCUAAUACCGCAUAACGUCGCAAGACCAAAGUGGGGGACCUUCGGGCCUCACACCAUCGGAUGUGCCCAGAUGGGAUUAGCUAGUUGGUGAGGUAAUGGCUCACCAAGGCGACGAUCCCUAGCUGGUCUGAGAGGAUGACCAGCCACACUGGAACUGAGACACGGUCCAGACUCCUACGGGAGGCAGCAGUGGGGAAUAUUGCACAAUGGGCGCAAGCCUGAUGCAGCCAUGCCGCGUGUAUGAAGAAGGCCUUCGGGUUGUAAAGUACUUUCAGCGAGGAGGAAGGUGUUGUGGUUAAUAACCGCAGUGAUUGACGUUACUCGCAGAAGAAGCACCGGCUAACUCCGUGCCAGCAGCCGCGGUAAUACGGAGGGUGCAAGCGUUAAUCGGAAUUACUGGGCGUAAAGCGCACGCAGGCGGUCUGUCAAGUCGGAUGUGAAAUCCCCGGGCUCAACCUGGGAACUGCAUUCGAAACUGGCAGGCUAGAGUCUUGUAGAGGGGGGUAGAAUUCCAGGUGUAGCGGUGAAAUGCGUAGAGAUCUGGAGGAAUACCGGUGGCGAAGGCGGCCCCCUGGACAAAGACUGACGCUCAGGUGCGAAAGCGUGGGGAGCAAACAGGAUUAGAA
rnacentral:rRNA from 1 species